GGGGACUCCAGUCAGACUGUGAGCUUCUCGGGCCCAAACAGGAGCAUUUAUAGCAGCAAACCCGGGGGAAAACGGCCAUAACUUCUAAAUGGAUCGAAGAAUCCCUGAAUUGCUCUGAAUCAGAAUUAAAUGGUGCAGCAGGCGGAGCGCCUUCACAUCGCUUGAGUCAUUGCAAUGGGUGUUUUCCAAAUCAAGUGAAUCACUGGACCAUUUCUCAACGCCCACGAAAUGAGCUAACGACUCACGGCUUGAGUGGGAAUCCCUAAUCCAUCAGGCAAUUGCUAAAUUACCCGUCUGGAUGGCAGGCAAACUCAUUAGGCGCUUAUCUGAUAGUUCAACCAAGACAUUGCCCCUACUGAUCUAAUUUCCCAGACUGCCUCUCAUUUU